rnacentral:rRNA from 1 species
GAUGAACGCUAGCGGCAGGCCUAAUACAUGCAAGUCGAGGGGGCAGCACGGCAGCAAUGCUGGUGGCGACCGGCGCACGGGUGCGUAACGCGUAUGCAACCUACCUUUGACAGUGGGAUAGCCCCGAGAAAUCGGGAUUAAUACCGCAUAACAAUGCGAGAUGGCAUCAUUUUUGCAUUUAAAACUCCGGUGGUCAAAGAUGGGGCAUGCGUGACAUUAGCUGGUUGGUGAGGUAACGGCUCACCAAGGCUACGAUGUCGUAGGGGUUCUGAGAGGAUGACUCCCCCACACUGGUACUGAGACACGGACCAGACUCCGUACGGGGAGGCACG